UGAAGGUUUCGAAGAAAGAAGGAUGUGAUUCAGAUUAUUCCGAUAACAAUCGUCUUAUCAACAUGAUAAAUGAAAAAACGCCGUAUAGACACCUCCUCAGAUGACAGUCGUCAGUGGUACGAGGUGAUGCUUGCCCUGGCUGCCAAAUCAGCUAUGGAGUGGUUGGCAAGAGUCAAUUUUGAGCACAGAUCCAUGCGCCGUAACAUACCACAACAGAGACGUCAAAAAGUCUCCAAGAAACAAGACUUAGAUUCCUCUUUUUAUGUCUUCUAAGGAGGAUUUGAUAUGGAUAUGUCUGCAUGGGCGCAAAUUGUUCGCAAAGCCACCAUCAUCACAGUACAAAUGUACUUUGAAUUUGCACAAUUUCGCCUUCUUUUGGGGCAUGUGUAUGAAUGUGCUGUUUUAUAUAAUUAUACAACACAGUUGUUGCAUUGUUUUGGCAAAAUUAUAACCAUCUCAGUACCACUGUUGUCAGAAUUAGUGUUCACACCGUUUCUGCACUGCAUUUUAUGAUCCCUUAUGUGUGAUGUACAUAGACAAUGUUUUAUAUAUAUGUAUAUAGAAUUCAUUUGCUGCGUGCUUUAGCAGAUGUAUUUAUUUAUUUGGCAAAGUUUCAUUUGCUUUUAAAAGGAUGGAUGGAUGGAUGUAUUAGAUAGAUAGAGAGAUAUAGAUAGAUGGAUGGAUGGAUGGAUGGAUGGAUACUCAUUCUAGUUUACUGACAAGGAAUUAAACUCUGGAUCGCUCAAAUUAUCUUACUCAUACACUAUGUGUAUAUAUGUAUAUAGUAAA